rnacentral:rRNA from 1 species
UCCAGACUCCUACGGGAGGCAGCAGUGGGGAAUAUUGCACAAUGGGGGAAACCCUGAUGCAGCGACGCCGCGUGAGUGAAGAAGUAUUUCGGUAUGUAAAGCUCUAUCAGCAGGAACGAGACAAGACGGUACCUGACUAAGAAGCCCCGGCUAACUACGUGCCAGCAGCCGCGGUAAUACGUAGGGGGCAAGCGUUAUCCGGAUUUACUGGGUGUAAAGGGAGCGUAGACGGCAAUACAAGUCGGAAGUGAAAUACCCGGGCUCAACCUGGGAACUGCUUUGGAAACUGUAUGGCUGGAGUGCUGGAGAGGUAAGCGGAAUUCCUAGUGUAGCGGUGAAAUGCGUAGAUAUUAGGAGGAACACCAGUGGCGAAGGCGGCUUACUGGACAGUAACUGACGUUGAGGCUCGAAAGCGUGGGGAGCAAACAGGAUUAGAUACCCCUGUA